UACAGAGGUGGCAAGCGUUGUUCGGAAUUACUGGGCGUAAAGGGCGCGUAGGCGGUUUCGUAAGUCCUGUGUGAAAUCCCCCGGCUCAACUGGGGAACUGCACAGGAAACUGCGAGGCUUGAGUUCGGGAGAGGGAAGCGGAAUUCCGGGUGUAGCGGUGAAAUGCGUAGAUAUCCGGAGGAACACCGGUGGCGAAGGCGGCUACCUGGACAGAAACUGACGCUGAGGCGCGAAAGCUAGGGGAGCAAACAGG
rnacentral:rRNA from 1 species